UACAGAGGUCUCAAGCGUUGUUCGGAUUCAUUGGGCGUAAAGGGUGCGUAGGUGGCGCCAUAAGUCAGGUGUGAAAUCUCGGAGCUCAACUCCGAAACUGCACUUGAUACUGUGGUGCUCGAGUACUGGAGAGGAGAUUGGAAUUUACGGUGUAGCAGUGAAAUGCGUAGAUAUCGUAAGGAAGACCAGUGGCGAAGGCGAAUCUCUGGACAGUUACUGACACUGAGGCACGAAGGCCAGGGGAGCAAACGGG
rnacentral:rRNA from 1 species